rnacentral:tRNA from 6 species
AGGACUAUAGCUCAGUUGGUUAGAGCACCACCUUGACAUGGUGGGGGUCGGCGGUUCGAGUCCGCCUAGUCCUACCA